rnacentral:rRNA from 1 species
UACGGAGGGUGCAAGCGUUAAUCGGAAUUACUGGGCGUAAAGCGUGCGCAGGCGGUUUGUUAAGUCUGCUGUGAAAUCCCCGAGCUCAACUUGGGAAUUGCAGUGGAUACUGGCAAGCUGGAGUACGGUAGAGGAAGGUGGAAUUCCCGGUGUAGCAGUGAAAUGCGUAGAGAUCGGGAGGAACAUCUGUGGCGAAGGCGACUACCUGGACCAGCACUGACACUGAGGCACGAAAGCGUGGGGAGCAAACAGG